rnacentral:lncRNA from 1 species
UAAAAGUCAAGUGCUCAAGAAGUAUUAAUAGAAGAUUUGAGAGAGGAAGACAGCUCUGGAGAAAGCAAAUGUACAGGCUAGUGUUGACUGAGAAAUCAGGUCAUCCAACACCUAAUCAGGAUCAGGGAUGCUAGCUGAUUCAGAAACCAAGGAAAGCUCAUGUCCACCAGGGGGAGAAAAGUGCCAUCGAGGGCUUGUGCCAGGCUUAGCAACAGCAGAAAUUUUCAAGAAGGGCAAAAGACAUUUCAGAAGGACUAAAGAUAGGAGCUGUUGGUAAGAAGAACUGGGUGUUUCUGCAUCCCUUAUUUCUGUGUCAGCAGAAAGCUCCCAGAGAAGAGACCGGAUUGAGUUUUGUGGCUGACGCACUCGAUCAGCAAACAAACCUAGUUGAACAGUAGCACGGAUGAUGGCUGACCAUGCCUCCUGUACUCCCAGUGCCACCAUCAACAGGUAGGUGACCUCCAACCUCUGGCUGUCAUCAAACAGGUCAGGCAGCAGCUCAAAAUAUUGACUUAAGACAGCAUUGGGGCAAUAUUUGCUUUUUUGGUUAUCUCAUGCCUGUGGUUGAUCAGUAUGUGUGAGAGAGGCUCCUGGGGUGCAGGAGGAGUUAGAGGGGUGGCAGCCUGGAGCGCUGCCACCAGCAGUGCCUGGGGCUGGGCAUGCUG